GAGUAUGACUAUACAGGUCUUGAAGAAGAGAAACAGGCACAUCUUUUGCGUAAGGUAUCGAAGGGCGCUAUUUCAAAAAUCUGAAACUAGAGCUCAAAAUUAAAAAAAAAAUUGUUAAAAACAGGGGGGUUGGCCUAUUCCAUGGCUUCUAGAGUAAAAUAAUGAGGGGUGUCACGGGAUAUGACUAUGAAGGUCUUGUAGAGGAGAAACAGGCGCAUCUUUUGCGCAAGGAAUCGAAGGGCGCUAUGUUCAAAAAUCUGAAACUAGAGCUCAAAAUUUAAAAAAAAAAUGUUAAAAACAGGGGGGUUGGCCUAUUCCAUGGCUUCUAGAGAAAAAUAAUGAGGAGUGUCAUAGUGUAUGACUAUAUAGGUCUUGUAGAGGAGAAACAGGCGCAUCUUUUGCGCAAGGAAUCGAAGGGCGCUAUGUUCAAAAAUCUGAAACUAGAGCUCAAAAAUAAAAAAAAAAAAAUGUUAAAAACAGGGGGAUUGGCCUAUUCCACGGCUUCUAGAGAAAAAACAAUUAGUAGUGUCACGGGGUAUGACUAUAUAGGUCUUGAAGAGGAGAAACAGGCGCAUCUUUUGCGCAAGGUAUCGAAGGGCGCUAUGUUCAAAAAUCUGAAACUAGAGCUAAAAAUUAAAAAAACAAAUGUUAAAAACAGGGGGGUUGGCCUAUUCCAUGGCUUCUAGAGAACAAUAAUGAGGAGUGUCACAGGGUAUAACUAUAUAGGUCUAGUAGAGGAGAAACAGGCGCAUCUUUUGCGCAAGGUAUCGAAGGGCGCUAUGUUUAAAAAUCUAAAACUAGAGCUCAAAAUUAAAAAAAAAAUUGUGAAAAACAGGGGGGUUGGCCUAUUCCAUGGCUUCUAGAGAAAAAUAAUGAGGGGUGUCACAGGGUAUGACUAUAUAGGUCUUGUAGAGGAGAAACAGGCGCAUCUUUUGCGCAAGAUAUCGAAGGGCGCUAUGUUCAAAAAUCUGAAAUUAGAGCUCAAAUUUAAAAAAAAAAAUGUUAAAAACAGGGUGGGGUUGGUCUAUUCACUAGCAUCUAGAGAAAAAUAAUGAGGGGUGUCACGGGGUAUGACUAUAUAGGUCUUGUAGAGGAGAAACAGGUGCAUGUUUUGCGCAAGGUAUCGAAGGGCGCUAUGUUCAAAAAUCUGAAACUAGAGCUCAAAAUUUAAAAAAAAAUGUUAGAAACAGGGGGGUUGGCCUAUUCCAUGGCUUCUAGAGAAAAAUAAUGAGGGAUGUCACGGGGUAUGACUAUAUAGGUCUUGUAGAGGAGAAACAGGCGCAUCUUUUGCGCAAGGUAUCGAAGGGCGCUAUGUUCAAAAAUCUGAAACUAGAGGUCAAAA